AAUUGAUAUUAUUAAGAUGUAAUUUUGAGAUUUUCAAAGCAAUUUUUUUUAUUGGGAUUUAUAGAUUUGUAAAUAUUGUUUUUCGAUAUUUAUAAUAAUUUUGCAAUUAUAAGAACGUUUAUGUGAUAUUUAAUUACCUAUUAGUAUUAAACUAUAAUUUUAGAGUCCAGAAAUAUGUAUUUAUUGAAAUCAUGUAUUAAAUCAAUGUAUUUAUGGUGAUUGUCUUAAUUUCCUGUAAAAAAUUAGUUUGAAUACAUCAUAA